GUACAAAGUGUCAAUUUGGCUUGGCCAGAGAUGUUUGCGUAUUAAUUAUAAACGACAAAAGGGAAAAGGAGACAUUGUUCUUUAAUAGAACAGGUGAAUAAUCAGGGGCGGACCUACGCUUGGGGGUGGGGGCACGGGCACCCGUUGGCCUCGGUAAAAAUAUUGUAUAUAUAUUCUAUAUAUAUAAGUUAAUACGGGAAGGACCCCUAUAAAUAUAUUAUGCGGCACCCUCAGUCACAAAGACUAGAUAAAAGAGUUGGUUUGUGGGCGUAGUUGGCUUCUUCAAGACUCAAGUUUGAAUCUUAGGUCCAACAAUCAAAAUAAUUUUUUUGAUUGGGUCUCAUUUGGUCAGGCCUUUAAUUUAACGCAUACUAGUACCCUUUUUGCACACGCCUACUAGUACCCUUUUCUCUCUCUUUGACAUAAGGUUCUUCUAAACCCAAAACAAAUCUUUGACAUCAGUUUUUUCUUCUAAACCCCAUUCCCAAACCAAAACAAAUUUCAUCCUUCACCUGUUCACCAUCGCGGCAUCACACGUUUCUUUCUUCAGGGAUUAAGGCAUGAAGCAGCUGCCGAAUCUUUUUCUGGGAAGUUCUCUUGAUGUGAAUUGAGAUGGACAAAUUUUUGACGAGGUUUAAUUCUCCUCAACCAAGUUCUAGUUUUAGAGACAAUUCCUCCCAUCUUGUCGAAGAGUUUGAUGUGAAAUCACUUAAUACCGACCCCGGAGAGAGAAUACCCAUUGAUAGAUAUAGCCCUAGAAUACGGGAUGAAGUGAGAAGACACUACAUCCAAAGAGGGCCCUGCCAAGCAUUAUCCCGAUGAGUUUGGUGAAUUGAAGCUUCGAGAUCUUAGUCGCCAACUUGAUACUUUCAUAUGGCAUAUGCAACAUGGUGACCCUAGGUUCUCUGAUUUGAAAGGAAUUGGUGAUUUGGCGAAAGCAUUGGUUGAAACAAAUCUUGUGGAGACUUAUUCACUUGUUUAUUUGCUUGUGAAGUUGACUUUAAUUUUACCCGUCGCAACUGCAACGGUGGAAAGAGCAUUCUCAUCUAUGAAGUACAUCAAAAAUGAAUUGCGUAGUAGUAUUGGUUAUGCAUUUCUAAAUGAUUGUUUAGUUUGUUACUUUGAGAAGGAAAUGUUUGUAAAAUAUGAAAACGCGUCGAGUUCAACUAUGAGUGGACAAUAUACUUUUGUUA